UUUAUCGGAGAGUUUGAUCCUGGCUCAGAACGAACGCUGGCGGCAGGCCUCAUACAUGCAAGUCGAGCGAUUAAAGCCCCUUCGGGGGUGUAUAAAGCGGCGAACGGGUGAGUAACGGGUGGAUAACCUGCCUUUCGGAGGGGGAUAACGGUUGGAAACGGCCGCUAAUACCGCAUACGAUUGUCUGUUCCCCGGAAUGGACAAGGAAAGGGGCCUUCAAUCCCCGCCGAGAGAUGGGUCCGCCUCCCAUUAGCUAGUUGGCGGGAUAACAGCCCACCAAGGCUGCGAUGGGUAGCCGAGCUGAGAGGUUGAUCGGCCACACUGGAACUGAGAUACGGUCCAGACACCUACGGGUGGCAGCAGUAGGGAAUAUUGCACAAUGGGCG
rnacentral:rRNA from 1 species